rnacentral:rRNA from 1 species
GCAGCGACGCMGCGUGMGGGAUGACGGCCUUCGGGUUGUAAACCKCUUUCAGCAGGGAAGAAGCSYMAGUGACGGUACCUGSAGAARAAGUMCCGGCUAACUACSUGCCAGCAGCCSCGGUAAUACSUAGGGKACGAGCGUUGUCCGGAAUUAUUGGGCGUAAAGAGCUCGUAGGUGGUUGGUCACGUCUGCUGUGGAAACSCMACGCUUAACSUUGSGCGUGCAGUGGGUACSGGCUGACUAGAGUGCAGUAGGGGAGUCUGGAAUUCCUGGKGUAGCGGUGAAAUGCGCAGAUWUCAGGAGGAACACCGGUGGCGAAGGCGGGACUCUGGGCUGUAACUGACACUGAGGAGCGAAAGCAUGGGGAGCGAACAGGAUUAGAUACCCUGGUAGUCCAUGCCGUAAACGUUGGGCACUAGGUGUGGGGGGCAUUCCACGUUYUCCGCGCCGUAGCUAACGCAUUAAGUGCCCCGCCUGGGGAGUACG